GACGAACGCUGGCGGCGUGCCUAAUACAUGCAAGCUGAGCGCUGAAGGUUGGUACUUGUACCAACUGGAUGAGCAGCGAACGGGUGAGUAACGCGUGGGGAAUCUGCCUUUGAGCGGGGGACAACAUUUGGAAACGAAUGCUAAUACCGCAUAAAAACUUUAAACACAAGUUUUAAGUUUGAAAGAUGCAAUUGCAUCACUCAAAGAUGAUCCCGCGUUGUAUUAGCUAGUUGGUGAGGUAAAGGCUCACCAAGGCGAUGAUACAUAGCCGACCUGAGAGGGGGAUCGGCCACAUUGGGACUGAGACACGGCCCAAACUCCUACGGGAGGCAGCAGUAGGGAAUCUUCGGCAAUGGACGAAAGUCUGACCGAGCAACGCCGCGUGAGUGAAGAAGGUUUUCGGAUCGUAAAACUCUGUUGGUAGAGAAGAACGUUGGUGAGAGUGGAAAGCUCAUCAAGUGACGGUAACUACCCAGAAAGGGACGGCUAACUACGUG
rnacentral:rRNA from 1 species